rnacentral:rRNA from 1 species
AGUUACCAGCACGUUAUGGUGGCACUCUAAGGAGACUGCCGGUGCAAACCGGAGGAAGGUGGGGAUGACGUCAAGUCAUCAUGGCCCUUACGGCCUGGGCUACACACGUGCUACAAUGGUCGGUACAAAGGGUUGCCAAGCCGCGAGGUGGAGCUAAUCCCAUAAAACCGAUCGUAGUCCGGAUCGCAGUCUGCAACUCGACUGCGUGAAGUCGGAAUCGCUAGUAAUCGUGAAUCAGAAUGUCACGGUGAAUACGUUCCCGGGCCUU